GGGGGCGGGACUUGUGGUCUUCGGGCAGGCUCGUGGACCUUGGAGAUCCGAAAAAUGUAGCUCUCGGUUUCGACCAAAAAGGCGUUGUUAGCUAUCCAAACUUCAGACCAGAGAAGAGCUAACAGCGCUAAAUCGCUGACAAGUCGGGGUUUUUAGCAUCGUAGGUAUAUGCCGAACAGUGCGGAUUAAGGGAUUCCCCGGUUUUCUUUAGGUUUGCACACGUCCAACACCAUGAAAAUGUUGAGAAAAAUGUCGCUAACUAGCAUAGCUUUCCAUUCAGCUAGUUAGCCAGGUAUGUUAGACGAAUGUUUCGUGUUACGAGACCGAGCACCAAAGCUUCAUAAGAAUAUUAAAGUCAUUGUCAGGAUUUCAGAAGCUGUGCCAUUUUGGAUACUUUUGGGGGAACGCGGGAAGAAUCGAGGAGAACCCCGAACAGACAGGAAAAGAAGAGUCUUCUCCUCUCCAUAUUCAGCACUGCUCCUGUUUAACAGAUCACCUAUAUAAACGCCCUCGCUGAGAUUCCACCGGAGCUCUUUCUCCCCCCCUGCUGUGCUCCUAUCAGCUGGUUUCCUGGGGAAAGGAGUCCUGGAAUAAUGGCCAGGGGCGUUCUCUCACGUGGACACACCUCCAAACCACUUAUGUAACAGCACACCCCCCCCACACACACACUUGGACUAGUCAGCCAAAAAAGCGACAGCUGGGCCUGACACACAGAAAGAGGAGGAAGUUCUCAGUCGCUCCUGGAGGGAGUAACUCUGCUUCCUCAGUUUUUUUUUUGUUUUUUUUUUUUUUUGUUUUGUUCUUUGUUUUUUUGCUCCCCCCCCCAACGUCAUUAUUUCCAAACCUACUCUUGCACUUCCAGGAAGAAUUGAUUGCAGCAUUUUUUUUUGGUUCCUCUACAUGAAGCACACCCCCGCUGAACUGCAUUUUGGAGAGAAAAAGUGGCAGCCACCGCUCAGCUGCUUAUUCACCCUGGACCUGCAGUCGGUUGCAUAUAGACCCUCCUGUGAAUGCCGGGCCACGGGUCUUCAUUCACACCACAAGUGAUCAUCAGCACAAAACGAGGAUCGGCCUACUUCACCACUGCUCUAUGCAGCGUUUGGACCUGUCUGAAAAUCUGCUGACUGUUGUUUUUGACUGAAGAAUGAGUCAGAUUCGUGUGUGGAGGGCUUCCAUUCUGUCAGUCAGACCCGUGGCUUCAGAACAUUUCAUGAACUGAAAAACAGAAAUUGCCAUUUUGGUCUGGAGAGACUGUUGCCACUAAACACACUUUACCUUAGUAAUCUUUUUGGUAGUUUCUGUUUUUUUUGGCUUUCCUUUAAUAGAUUUCUAAUUUAAUUGGGUCUUUUUCUCUUUCGUUUUUUGUUGUAGUUGUUUCUUCAUUGAAGUGGCCAAUUUAUCAAAUGUAGGCUCCUCAAAUUUAACAUUUUAAAAAUGCCAAACGUGCUGAAUGCCUAGGCCUCUCUCACUGUCACCACUCUCCUCAAGCUUGUUCUGAUGCCCAUAUUGUGUUUGUGGUGUGGUGAUGCUGUCAUUAUCAUUUACGGUCAUAGCAUUUCACUAGAGGCACUUACAGGCCCAUCUAAUCGAAUCUUUUAAGCCUCUUUUACUUGUUUAAAAACUGUUUAAAUUACGAAAAUGUAAUUUUCUUAAAGCUAUUAUAUACUUUUUUUAUUGCUUUUUGUGGCAACAUUGUUUUUUGCAGCAAAUGGGAUCACUUUGUUUCUGGUUGCUGUUUGCGCUACAAAGCUGCUGAAUGGUCUCCAUUUAUUACCUCUGCUUUCAAACAGAGCCCUGCACAAACAAAAAAACAUUUAUGUUGAAAUCUCUCUUCUGUUAAAGCUACUUUUUGUACUUUUUGUUCAAAAGAAACCACCAGUCUUUAUUAUUAUUAUUUUUUUUUAAUUUCUUAUAAUUUAAUUUUUUUUAUCUGUCUUUCACCCUUUCAUCUUGGCCAUGCUGGUCUUGUUGCAGUGCUCCUUGUCCUCACCCCAACGUCAAGGGGGAGUCCAUAUCCUCCCUCUCUAGCAAUCAUUUGCUUCGCUUUCCUUAAUAUCUGUCUUCUCUGAUCCCUCGUUCCACACACACCCCAAAAAAUCUGCCCCUCUGGAUAACGCCUGUGUGUGGGAGACCAC
ensembl:lncRNA